rnacentral:rRNA from 1 species
AGAGUUUGAUCCUGGCUCAGAUUGAACGCUGGCGGCAGGCCUAACACAUGCAAGUCGAACGGUAGCACAGGAGAGCUUGCUCUCUGGGUGACGAGUGGCGGACGGGUGAGUAAUGUCUGGGAAACUGCCCGAUGGAGGGGGAUAACUACUGGAAACGGUAGCUAAUACCGCAUAACGUCGCAAGACCAAAGAGGGGGACCUUCGGGCCUCUUGCCAUCGGAUGUGCCCAGAUGGGAUUAGCUAGUAGGUGGGGUAACGGCUCACCUAGGCGACGAUCCCUAGCUGGUCUGAGAGGAUGACCAGCCACACUGGAACUGAGACACGGUCCAGACUCCUACGGGAGGCAGCAGUGGGGAAUAUUGCACAAUGGGCGCAAGCCUGAUGCAGCCAUGCCGCGUGUAUGAAGAAGGCCUUCGGGUUGUAAAGUACUUUCAGCGGGGAGGAAGGCGAUACGGUUAAUAACCGUGUCGAUUGACGUUACCCGCAGAAGAAGCACCGGCUAACUCCGUGCCAGCAGCCGCGGUAAUACGGAGGGUGCAAGCGUUAAUCGGAAUUACUGGGCGUAAAGCGCACGCAGGCGGUCUGUCAAGUCGGAUGUGAAAUCCCCGGGCUCAACCUGGGAACUGCAUCCGAAACUGGCAGGCUAGAGUCUUGUAGAGGGGGGUAGAAUUCCAGGUGUAGCGGUGAAAUGCGUAGAGAUCUGGAGGAAUACCGGUGGCGAAGGCGGCCCCCUGGACAAAGACUG